rnacentral:rRNA from 2 species
AGGUGCCUAUAUCGGCGGUGUCCACCUCUUCCCAUUCCGAACAGAGAAGUUAAGCCCGCCAGAGCCGAUGGUAUUGCCGUAACAGGUGGGAGAGUAGGUCGGUGCCU